rnacentral:lncRNA from 1 species
UCAAACGAAGUACAUCAGGGACAUGCUGAAGAAAUUUGGGAUGGAAUUGUAACAUCCCAAAAUUUCAAACUUUUACAUGAGCAUUGCAUCCAUAAGCAUCAUGCCACAAUUGCAUGUUUGAAUUCAAAUUUGAAUCACAAAAGGCUUUAAAAGAUUUUGUUUACACCUAUUUGAGCUUUGGACCUUCAAACCAUUAAGGUUUAUAUAUAAAAGGGGUUUAUUGCACAUAUGAGCUAUCCCAUAAUUUUUGGGUAAUUCUUUGGAGUUGAAAAAGUAUUUUAUUUAAAUAGAUAUGUGGCCCUAAAGGCAUUUAUAGGGCAAAUGUAUUUUUAUAUAUUUUAUUUUGAAGAGAAACUACUCCAAAAAGUUGUCUCAUGGUACAACAUGAUUUUACAAAUUUUCUGGAAUUUAUUUGGACCAAUUUGGAGUUCAAAAUCCAAAGAUAUCAAAGGAAUAAGAAAAACAGAAAAAGAAAAGGGAAAAAGAAAAAAAAAGGGGGAGGAACGGACCGGCCCGGCCGAAUUGGGUCGAACCGGCCCAACUCCCUCGCGCGCCCUGCCGCCCAGUCGGCCC